rnacentral:rRNA from 1 species
CCUACGGGAGGCAGCAGUCAGGAAUAUUGCUCAAUGGAGGAAACUCUGACGCAGUGACGCCGCGUGCAGGAUGAAGGUUUUCUGAUUUUUAACUUCUUUAGACAAGGAAAUAAAAAGACGGUACCUGUCGAAUAAGCUCCGGCUAACUACGUGCCAGCAGCCGCGGUAAUACGUAGGACGCAAGCGUUAUCCGGAUGUACUGGGUGUAAAGGGUUAGUAGACGGAGAAACAAGUCAGUUGUGAAAUUCCUCGGCUUAACUGAGGAAAUGCAACUAAAACUGGUUAUCUUGAGUACUGGAGAGGAAAGUGGAAUUCCUAGUGUAGCGGUGAAAUGCGUAGAUAUUAGGAAGAACCCCAGUGGCGAAGGCGACUUUCUGGACAGUAACUGACGUUGAGGCACGAAAGUGUGGGGAGCAAACAGGAUUAGAUACCCUUGUAGUC